rnacentral:rRNA from 1 species
GACGAACGCUGGCGGCGUGCCUAAUACAUGCAAGUAGAACGCACAGUUUAUACCGUAGCUUGCUACACCAUAAACUGUGAGUUGCGAACGGGUGAGUAACGCGUAGGUAACCUGCCUGGUAGCGGGGGAUAACUAUUGUAAACGAUAGCUAAUACCGCAUAAUAUUGAUUAUUGCAUGAUAAUUGAUUGAAAGAUGCUAUUGCAUCACUACCAGAUGGACCUGCGUUGUAUUAGCUAGUAGGUGAGGUAACGGCUCACCUAGGCGACGAUACAUAGCCGACCUGAGAGGGUGAUCGGCCACACUGGGACUGAGACACGGCCCAGACUCCUACGGGAGGCAGCAGUAGGGAAUCUUCGGCAAUGGACGAAAGUCUGACCGAGCAACGCCGCGUGAGUGAAGAAGGUUUUCGGAUCGUAAAGCUCUGUUGUAAGAGAAGAACGGGUGUGAGAGUGGAAAGUUCACACUGUGACGGUAUCUUACCAGAAAGGGACGGCUAACUACGU